UUGGAGAAUGAAGCAAAGCGGGAGGAGAAAGAUUGCUUACCUGAUCUGCUGGAGGCGAUGAAGACGACGGUGAAGUUGAUGCUGGGACGAAGGCAAUGGCAGAGCCAAUACUCGUCUCUGUGUUGCUCCUCUCCCUUUCUUUCCUUCUUUUCUCUGUAUAUUUGCUUUUCUUUUGCUCUAUUUUUGCUCUGUUUUCUUCUCUUUCGGCUCGUGAUCUGCCCCUUACUUCUCCCGCUCGUCCUCCUCCCUUUUUUUUUUUGCGAGGUUGCCUUUACCCGGCUUUUAUAGAGCCAAAGAUCGAUCGGCGCUGGUAACGGCCGGCAGUAAUGGCCGUGGGGCGCUGCAUUCAAUGGAGAAACGUCUCUGCCUUUAAUGCUAGAGUCGUUGCCGGGGAAGAAGACGACGAACAGUCGCUUGCCAAAACGACUCCGUUUUCCAAUUCCAAAGGCUGCUUUCAAUUUGGUCCUUUGAAUUCUUGUAAUCUUGCAAUCAAGCCCCUGGUUAAAAUGUAAUUGGAUACUUGCAUUUCGGUGCCUUUUACAAGCUAGUCCUUGGACUUCAA